UUUAUUAAUGAGUUUAAGUCUUCCGCAUUACUUUCUGUUUAUAUUAUAUUGAAAUGUUAAGGUUUAGAUUGGUUGGUUCGCUCACAUAGGAGGGUAAGUGUGGGUGCCAGUCGUGGCCCGGAUUUUGGUCGUGACAAACUUGGUAUCAGAGCAUUAGGUUCGUUGGUCUCAUCACACAAGGACGAGUCUAGUA